CGUGAAUCCGGGCGCGCGGAAUUCAGGACCGACGGUCGGCGACGGCGAUCUCACGGUCGUCGCCGUCGCUCGUCGAUUCGAUAUUUCCGCCGCCAACCCGUCACAACGGGUGAGGACGUCGCGACCCGUUCGCCGCCGGUCUCACGGAACGCGUUUCAAGUUCGUCGCGCGUCUUCUCCUUCGUCCGGGUAACCGGGCGGAGAUCGGGUGGCGCGCGGCGAUGGCGCGCCUCCAAUCGGGCCGGCGUUUUGCGGACGGUAGCCUCGAGCGUGCGGGUAAUCGACGCGGCCGAACGGCCGGCGCGCGCGUGUCGCAAGGCACGCGCGUUCGUUGGUCGGGCGCGCGCGUCGACGCCGGUCAGCGACGAAUCUUCGGGCCUCUUUCCGACCCGUCUUGAAACACGGACCAAGGAGUCUAACGUGCGCGCGAGUCGCGGGGUAUCCGAGUCGGUAACGCGACUCGUCACGAUACGAAACCCGUGUGUACGUACGUUGUGCGAAGGCGUAAUGAAAGUGAAAGGCGCGUGCGCGUGGCCUCGUGUCGCGCGCGCGUGUCGGGGAAGACGGCGUUUCCGAGUACACGUUUCUCGGUCGUACGGUACCGAGACCGGGCGCCCGCAUUCCCAGGGCGUCCCGCUCGUACGUCGGUGGCGCGGACGUGCGGUCGUUUCACGACGGCCGCGCGUCGACCGCCGACGAACUGGGGCGCACCUCUAGCGUGCACGUUGGUACCCGAAAGAUGGUGAACUAUGCCCGGCCAGGAUGAAGUCAGGGGAAACCCUGAUGGAGGUCCGCAGCGAUUCUGACGUGCAAAUCGAUC
rnacentral:rRNA from 1 species